rnacentral:rRNA from 1 species
GACGAACGCUGGCGGCGUGCUUAACACAUGCAAGUCGAACGAAGUGGCGAACGGGUGAGUAAUACGUGAGUAACCUGCCCUCCUUUUUGGGAUAAGCCUUGGAAACGGGGUCUAAUACCGGAUAAAGGGGGAUGGGCUCGCGGCCUAUCAGCUUGUUGGUGGGGUGAUGGCCUACCAAGGCGGUGACGGGUAGCCGGCCUGAGAGUGUGACCGGGCACAGUGGGACUGAGAGACGGGCCAAACGGCUACGGGAGGCAGCAGUGGGGAAUAUAGCACAAUAGGGGAAACCCUGGUGCAGCAACGCCGGGUGCGAGAUGACGGCCUUCGGGUUGUAAACCGCUUUCAGCGAUGACGCGGUAGUGGCAGAAGAAGCACCGGCUAACUACGUGCCAGCAGCCGCGGUAAUAC